rnacentral:tRNA from 1 species
GCCCGGGUGGCGGAACGGUAGACGCGAAGGACUCAAAAUCCUUUGUCCGUAGGGGCGUGUGGGUUCGAAUCCCACCCCGGGUA